GGGGGGUUGGCGCAAUUGGCAGCGCGUUGGAUUCCAAAUCCAGAGGUCAGGAGUUCGACUCUCUUACUCCUCA